rnacentral:rRNA from 1 species
GGAAAUCAACUUUUUUGUAUGUUCAUCCAUAGAUCCUUUACUCAUAAUUUCAAAAUUGGAAUACUUAAUCCAAUGCAAAAUUAUGCUUCGCGACUCUGUACUCAUAAUCCAAUUUUUAUUUUGGAUGCAAUUUAAAUUAGUCUUUGGAUACAAAUCGCCAGAAUGUAUAUUCUUCCUCAAUAUGCUAUUGAGAGGAAAAGGAUUUAAUCCUUUAUAGGAACUAAAGUUUUCAUCGGAAUAUAAAAAUAAAAAACUUAAGGAUGCCUUAAGUAUAUCAUUUCAAAUUUAGUUAUUAAUAGAACGAAUCACACUUUUAC